rnacentral:rRNA from 1 species
CCUACGGGGGGCUGCAGUGGGGAAUAUUGGACAAUGGGGGGAACCCUGAUCCAGCCAUGCCGCGUGUGUGAAGAAGGCCCUCGGGUUGUAAAGCACUUUCAGUGAGGAAGAACGCCUGGUGGUUAAUACCCAUCAGGAAAGACAUCACUCACAGAAGAAGCACCGGCUAACUCCGUGCCAGCAGCCGCGGUAAUACGGAGGGUGCGAGCGUUAAUCGGAAUUACUGGGCGUAAAGCGCGCGUAGGUGGCUUGAUAAGCCGGUUGUGAAAGCCCCGGGCUCAACCUGGGAACGGCAUCCGGAACUGUCAAGCUAGAGUGCAGGAGAGGAAGGUGGAAUUCCCGGUGUAGCGGUGAAAUGCGUAGAGAUCGGGAGGAAUACCAGUGGCGAAGGCGGCCUUCUGGACUGACACUGACACUGAGGUGCGAAAGCGUGGGUAGCAAACAGGAUUAGAUACCCGAGUAGUC